rnacentral:rRNA from 1 species
CCUCGGUGUGAAUCCCUCCUGCCGGUGCACGCAACCGACGUUUCCCAUCUGGUCAACCCUCGAUGCACGCAACCGACGUUUCCCAUCUGGUCAACCCUCGAUCAAAUCUCAUGCCGGGUGAGAAAGGAGAUGGUCAGUCCACCGAUGCUUGGAUGAGGGGAAUCGGUGAGGCCUUCGGUGGUCGACAACAGCGCCCCCGGUGGUCCUCGACGGAGGCGGCCACCUCCCUUUCCCCUGGCCACCUAGGGUUAAUGUUACGAGCGAGCCCGCUGCUCUGCGCGGUCGAGCGCUGCCACCACCCACCGCACUAGAGAUGGUCGCUGUUGUUUGCCUCCAUGCGCCACCGUGCGGCGUCACUGCUGUGUGCUGCUCGUGCGCUGCCCCAGCUGAAGUGGCCGGCCCAGACAGCUACUGCUGGCUCCUUGCCGUGCUUGCCGCUGUUUUUAAUUAUUGUUGCUUGCUGAGUGUAUUGAGAUGCUGAUGCUUGAUUGAUUGUUCAUGAUGCAGACCACAAAAUUGAGAUGAAUUACCGCGCGAUGGGCAGCAGCAAGGUGCAUCGGUUGUGUGCGCUAGCAAGAAGCAGCGGCAGGCAGCGACAAGGGCCUGCUGCUGGGAACAGCGUGGCUGCACCUGCGGGGAACAGAGAGUGCCUAGCCGGCAGGGAGGAAACUAGAUUCAUGAGGCAACUUGGGAAUUUGGGAAAUCUCAGGUGAUCUGCUCGUUUCUUCAUCCAAACGUGUACAAAUGACAAUUUGGUGACUGGUCAGGUGUGGCAAAUUAUCAAAUAUAAUGUCAGGAGUGGAAAGCAUCCCCAUUUGAUUAUCUAAUCUUCUAAAGACUAGGUCGCCUUGGAUGGUUGCUUCUCAUAGCAAGCACUAGUUUUUUUUAGCAAGCUCAAUCUGAUGCUCAUGCGGAAGCUCGCUGUCAGCCUGGACAACAGUUUGUCAGGAAUUUUUUGUCUCAACAACAUGAGAAGUGGCUGGAACAGGAAGUAGGAUGUUGACUAAGCUGACAGAGCUUUUAAUGAGAAACAGGGAAGGAAAUUGCUCUGAAGUAGAAGUUGCUUAACUGUGCAAGUUGCUGUAAAUUUGGGUUUGGGUAGAAGACACAUAACGUGUGCAAGUUGCUUUAGUUAUCUGGUUGGAGAAACUUAGUUUCUUUCAUGAUAUCAUGGCGCACCCUGGCCGAUCCUUCUGAAUUUGUGUUAACAUGCCUUAACAUUAUAAUGGCUACCUAUGAAGUCAUAAUUAUUUAUUAUAUCCAUGGAUUACUACAUUAUGUAUUUCCUGGUCCGUGCUUAACAGUAUAGUAUACAU